AUUGAACGCUAGCGGGAUGCCUUACACAUGCAAGUCGAACGGAGUGGCGAACGGGUGAGUAAUGUAUCGACACGUGCCCAGUAGCGGGGGAUAACUACGCGAAAGCGAAGCUAAUACCGCACACUAUCUAUGCGGCCGAUAUCGGAUUAGCUAGUUGGUGGGGGAACGGCUCACCAAGGCGACGGUCCGUAGCUGGUUUGAGAGGACGACCAGCCACACUGGGACUGAGACACGGCCCAGACUCCUACGGGAGGCAGCAGUGGGGAAUUUUGGACAAUGGGGGAAACCCUGAUCCAGCCAUGCCGCGUGUGCGAUGAAGGCCUUCGGGUUGUAAAGCACUUUUGGCAGGAAGGCGGUACCUGCAGAAUAAGCACCGGCUAACUCCGUGCCAGCAGCCGCGGUAAUUC
rnacentral:rRNA from 1 species